GUGAGCCGCAUGUGGGGAGACUCACACGUACGGCUUUUAGGGGGAUCUGAUCAAAAAACCGGCCGACAUCCACCCGAC
rnacentral:ncRNA from 1 species